UCCUCAAAAAGAUGGGCAGUCAGAGAGAGUAAUCCAAAUACUAGAGGACAUGUUAAGAAGUUGUGUUAUGGAAUUUGAAGGAAUUUGGGAUAGGUAUCUCCUAUUAGCAAAAUUUGCAUAUAACAAUAGUUAUUAGGCCAGUAUCAAGAUGUUCCCUUAUGAAGCACUGUAUGGGAGGAAAUGCAGGAGACCCUUAUGUUAGACAAAAUUGGGUAAAGAUAAGAUGGUAGGGCCAGAUUUCGUGAGAUAGACUGAGGAGAAGAUAAAAGUGAUCAGAGCUAGUUCGAAAGCUGCCUCAGAUAGACAGAAGUCAUAUGCAGAUCUAAAAAGAAAGGAUAUAGAAUAUGAAGUUGGUGAUAAAGUUUUCCUCAAGGUGUUACCAUGGAAGAAAGUGUUGAGAUUUGGGAAGAAGGGUAAGUUAAGCCCUAGGUUUAUCAGUCCAUACAAAAUCAUUGAACGUGUAGGUCCAGUAGCCUAUAGGCUAGCUUUACCACCAGAGCUGGACAAGAUUCAUAAUGUAUUCCAUAUCUCAAUGCUGAGGAGAUACAGAUUAGAUCCAUCACAUGCCAUAUCAGUAAAGGAGAUUGUUGUGCAGCCAGAUCUGACAUAUGAGGAAGAACCAGUAAGAAUAUUAGCUCGAGAGAUCAAGGAAUUGAGGAACAAGCAUAUUCCAUUGGUGAAGGUGCUCUGGAGACACCAUAACAUGGAGGAAGCUACUUGGGAAAGGGAAGAAAUAAUGAGGCAACAGCAUCCUCAACUGUUUACAUCAGCUGAAAAAGACCUGGAAAAGGAUAGGGGAAACUGAGUCAAGGCCUAGAGGCGACUCGCAUCAGAUGGGGAAAAGGACAUAGCAACAGAGUGAGCUGCUACAGUAAUAGGAGAGCACAACUUGAAGAUUUUUGUACGGGAAGUAGAAAUUCUGGAAAACGGAAUGGAAGAGGGAGGUCAUUCCGUAGAAUAAUCUGUCGAGGCUGAGGCCCAAGGAGAAGCCCCAGCACUCCAGAAUGUGAGUGGGUCAGCCACUCCAGCUCCUCCUCAAGCACCGUAGUUUCCUACUCAGUUUACACAGCAGAUGGCUGCGUUGUUUCAACAAAUGGCGAGAAACUUGCCAACACAAGCCCCAACAGCACAACCACAACCCCCAGCAAUACAAUAUGAGAAGUUAAUGAAAUUUGGGGCUACAGAAUUCAAAGGAACAGUAGAUCCACUGGAAGCAGAACAGUGGUUAGAGAGGAUGGAACGGGUUUUUAGAAAUCUAUAGUGUGCUGAAGAGUUAAAGUUCGAAUAUUCAGUAUCACUUCUCCAAGAGGAUGCAUAUGAAUGGUGGAAAGCCACCCCCCAUAGCCUGGUAGAGCCACUAGUUCUCACUUGGACAGACUUUUUGAGAGAAUUCAGACAGAAAUGGUUCCUCGAUCCUUAUAUAGACAUGAAGCUGCAAGAGUUUUUAAGUUUGAAGCAAGGGGACAGAACUGUAGCAGAGUAUGAGCAGGAUUUCUCUCUAUUAAGCCACUAUGCAGGAAGCCUGGUCACCACCCCUAGAGAUCGGUGUAAAAGGUUUGAGGUUGGGUUGAGGCCUACUUUGAGAAUGCAAGUGGUGGGGCUUCGACACCAGAAUUUUUCUGAAUUGAUUUCACAGGCCUUGGAGCUGGAAAGGAUAGAAUCAGAAGGGGCAGUGAAGAAGAGUACACAAGAGAAAGAGAAAACUAAAAAGGUUAAUGGCCAAGCUACUGAGAGUGGUUCUGGGAAAAGAAAACAUUUUGGAGGAUCUAGCUCAUGUGAAUCGGGUAGAGGUAGAUCUUCUAGACAGAAACUACCCCAAUUUGAUCAGCAAACUCAGUAGACGCACAGAAAUACUUUGUCGGAUCGACUUUGUGAAACUUGUGAUAAACCACAUAGUGGAGUAUGUUGUAGAGCUAUAGGGGCAUGUUUUAAUUAUGGAGGGACUGGUCAUUUUGCUAAGGAUUGCGUAAGUCUACGCCGUUAUGGAUCAUUUACCACGUCAGAAGGAUCAACCUAAGUUUUUACACCAAAGAGUUCACCAGUAAUUGGUAGAGACAGAUGUACAGGUAGGGGUAGUACACUUGGAAGUCAAAGUACUGUGAAUCAGCCAGGACAAGGUGAUACUCCAGCUAGAGUAUACACUAUGCGACAGAGGGACGAGGAUGAGAUUUCUGACAUUGUUGCUACUGAAAAAGACCUAGAAAAGGAUAGGGCAAACUGAGUCAAGGCCUAGAAGCGACUCACAUCAGCGAUAGCUUCUUUUGCUAUCGCAGAUAGGAAAAAGGAUAUAGCAGCAAAGUGAGCUGCUACAGUAAUAGGUGAGCACAACUUGAAGAUUUUUGUAUGGGUAUAUUAUUUAUACCCAUUGUGUUUUGGUUGAUGUAAAUAUGGUAUUGUCAUAUGUAUGUAUGUAAAAUUGAGCAGCUGUACAGUAAAUUAUAAUAAUAUUACCUUUUGGAUUUUUAUGCCUAUAAAUUAAAUUGUGAUUGUAAAUUAUUUAUUUUAAAUGCUAUGUGUAUAAAUUAAUUUGAAAUAUUUGGGAUGACAAUUUUGUUUUGAAUUGUGCA